rnacentral:rRNA from 1 species
CGCAAGUCGUGGGGCAGCAUGGGGUAGCAAUACUCUGAUGGCGACCGGCAAACGGGUGCGGAACACGUACGCAACCUUCCCAAAACUGGUGAAUAGCCCUCCGAAAGGAGGAUUAAUACACCGUAACAUAACGAAGUGGCAUCACUUUGUUAUUAUAGCUCCGGCGGUUUUGGAUGGGCGUGCGCCUGAUUAGGUAGUUGGCGGGGUAACGGCCCACCAAGCCUACGAUCAGUAACUGGUGUGAGAGCACGACCAGUCACACGGGCACUGAGACACGGGCCCGACUCCUACGGGAGGCAGCAGUAAGGAAUAUUGGUCAAUGGACGCAAGUCUGAACCAGCCAUGCCGCGUGAAGGAUGAAGGUCCUCUGGAUUGUAAACUUCUUUUAUCUGGGACGAAAAAAGGGCUUUCUAGCUCACUUGACGGUACCAGAGGAAUAAGCACCGGCUAACUCCGUGCCAGCAGCCGCGGUAAUACGGAGGGUGCGAGCGUUAUCCGGAUUUACUGGGUUUAAAGGGUGCGUAGGUGGGCAGGUAAGUCAGUGGUGAAAUCUUCGAGCUUAACUCGGAAACUGCCAUUGAUACUAUCUGUCUUGAAUGCCCUGGAGGUAAGCGGAAUAUGUCAUGUAGCGGUGAAAUGCUUAGAUAUGACAUAGAACACCAAUUGCGAAGGCAGCUUGCUACGGGGUGAUUGACACUGAGGCACGAAAGCGUGGGGAUCAAACAGGAUUAGAUACCCUGGUAGUCCACGCCCUAAACGAUGGAUACUCGACAUACGCGAUACACUGUGUGUGUCUGAGCGAAAGCAUUAAGUAUCCCACCUGGGAAGUACGACCGCAAGGUUGAAACUCAAAGGAAUUGACGGGGGGUCCGCACAAGCGGUGGAGCAUGUGGUUUAAUUCGAUGAUACGCGAGGGAAACCUUACCUGGGGCUAGAAUGCGGUUUG